AGGAGAUGAGAUGGAAGUCUGACCUCAGGGACGACGAAGCCAAUGGCCAUCUUGUCGUGAAGAGGACGUUGGAGGGCACCGGAGUUGAUGAAGAGGAGUGUUUGUCGGAGAUCUUGAGGGUUGUAAAUGGCGCCGCCGCUGGAAAAGCAAAGUUGGAUAGUAGAAUGGUGUAAUGGGGGAGGAGUACCCAAGAAGGAACUAUUUAUAGGACAAGAUGGGCAAGGGCAAAUCCGACUUAUCUCUUUGCCGCAUCCGAGAAGCCCGAGGGUACUCAGGUGGAUAUGGUAACUGUUCGCACGGUAAUCCAGGGAUUGUGCAGGUGAUUUGACAGGAAGCGGUCAUUAUCUAAA
rnacentral:lncRNA from 1 species